ACUUUUGGUACUUUUGGCACUUGUUUAUGACUUUCUGAUUAUAAAACCAGCGUUGUUUCAUGCGAGCGUUACUUGUGUCAACUUGAAAAGACGAAGCAUGUAUCUGCAUUGUGUGCUCAUACUGCUGGCAUUGUUUGGUAUCCACGUAUCAGAAUGCCUACAGUGUUUCAACUGUCAAAAUAUCAAUGAUCCCAAAUCAUGUACAGGCCAGGUGGAAUGUUUAAACAACCAGUACUGCUUUUUGCAAACCGUCCAUUCUGGCAAUGAAGUACUUUACAACAUGGGCUGUCAGAACAAUCAGUUAUGCAGUUCCUUUGUCAUUG